AUUGAACGCUGGCGGCAUGCUUUACACAUGCAAGUCGAACGGCAGCGCGGGCUUCGGCCUGGCGGCGAGUGGCGAACGGGUGAGUAAUACAUCGGAACGUGCCCAGUAGUGGGGGAUAGCUCGGCGAAAGCCGGAUUAAUACCGCAUACGACCUGAGGGUGAAAGCGGGGGAUCUUCGGACCUCGCGCUAUUGGAGCGGCCGAUGGCAGAUUAGCUAGUUGGUGGGGUAAAGGCCUACCAAGGCGACGAUCUGUAGCUGGUCUGAGAGGACGACCAGCCACACUGGGACUGAGACACGGCCCAGACUCCUACGGGAGGCAGCAGUGGGGAAUUUUGGGCAAUGGGCGAAAGCCUGAUCCAGCAAUGCCGCGUGUGUGAUGAAGGCCUUCGGAUUGUAAAGCACUUUUGGCGGGAACGAAAAUGACUGUGCCAAUACCACGGUUCGAUGACGGUACCCGCAGAAUAAGCACCGGCUAACUACGUG
rnacentral:rRNA from 1 species